rnacentral:lncRNA from 1 species
AUGCCAUGCAGUCGGGGACUUGGCCCUCGGUGGCUGCUCUGGCUGGAAGAGGAAGAGGAGGAAUGGGGUGUGCCUGGCCCUGAAUACCCUGCAGAGGGGUGCAAGGAACCUCUGUCCGAGCCCGCCUGGACUCUGGCUUCACCCUGCCAGGGAUGCGGCGGGGUCUGGACCAUGAGGACCUCUCUCUGGAAGAGAACCUGGUGUGUCUGCAUCGCUGCUGCAGGGAAGACAGCUCGGUGGCCUUCGUCUUCGGGGACACGGCCCAGCCUGGGAGCCGGGCUGGCACCGGCCUUCUGGGGUGAUCGAGCAGGGGCAGCAUGCCAGCUUCCCAGAGCCGGGCCCGCGCCCGGGACCGCAACAACGUCCUCAACCGGGCCGAGUUCCUGUCCCUGAGCCAGCCCC